GCCACGGCUCUGCCGCCGCUGUUGUGCCUCACUCCGACCGUCCCCGGCGGCAAGACCACCACCCACAGGCGCAGGAUGCAGCCGCAGACCCGUCCCCAUUGCUGCUCGAGGUCGCCGGACCUCCAUUCGCCGGCAUCGAUCCCGGCUGCUCCCCUGCUUCUCCUCUGUUUGGCGUCGGGAGGAAGGGGAUGAGUGACCCGGAGGAGAGAGAAGAUAAGGUGGGGGUCCACGUGUAAGAGGCUCAGGGUACGGGCCCGCGUAGAGUAAUUAAGUGGAGGCGUAUUUCUGAAAAUACGCUUUCCCUGUCUGAAGACGUAUUUUCCCCGAAGGUGCUUUCUGCUAGCCAGCGAGGGGCCUGUUUGUAGAAGUUUCUUUUAUAGAUUGGUCCCUAAACUUCAUCCAGUUAUAUCUUUUCGCUCGUAACUCCGAUUCAGGUGAAACCAGCGCUCACAUCUUCGUCUCGACGAGCCCAUCGUGAUAGUGUCAUUCUCAUAAUGUUUCCACAUUCUGAAAAUGACCAUUUUGCCCUUGCCCUUCUAUCAACCCUCUUCGAGAGAGAACGGUUUCUGGCGAUCCUUUUCGCGGACUCUCCGCACUUUUUCCUCGAGUAUUCUUCGACCCGAGGCAAGCCGACCAUCUGAUAUAUGCCCUAAAGCAUUGCUCUGUGUUAUUCUUGCAUGUUCAAUUAAUGUUAUGCUUGUGCUAGAAAUAAUUAAUCUCCUGCCAUUUCGAUAUUAUCAUUUACAUUACGUGCUACUGCUCAUCUUAUCAUUGCACUAAUG
rnacentral:lncRNA from 1 species